GAUGAACGCUAGCUACAGGCUUAACACAUGCAAGUCGAGGGGCAGCGGUAUCGAAAGCUUGCUUUCGGUAGCCGGCGACCGGCGCACGGGUGAGUAACGCGUAUCGAACCUGCCUCAUACUCGGGAAUAGCCUUGCGAAAGUAAGAUUAAUGCCCGGUGUUUUCAGAGUCCCGCAUGAGGCUUUGAACAAAGAUUUAUCGGUAUGAGAUGGCGAUGCGUCCCAUUAGCUUGUUGGCGGGGUAACGGCCCACCAAGGCAUCGAUGGGUAGGGGUUCUGAGAGGAAGGUCCCCCACAUUGGAACUGAGACACGGUCCAAACUCCUACAGGAGGCAGCAGUGAGGAAUAUUGGUCAAUGGGCGGAAGCCUGAACCAGCCAAGUAGCGUGCAGGAAGACGGCCCUCCGGGUUGUAAACUGCUUUUAGUUGGGAAUAAAACGGGGCUCGUGAGCCCCCUUGCAUGUACCAUCAGAAAAAGGACCGGCUAAUUCCGUG
rnacentral:rRNA from 1 species